UCUCCUCUGAGCUUCUGACAGCCUCACCUA
rnacentral:piRNA from 1 species